CCCGCACAAGCGGUGGAGCAUGUGGUUUAAUUCGAUGAUACGCGAGGAACCUUACCUGGGCUCAAAUGUAUGUUGACGUAUUCUGAAAGGGAUACUUCUUCGGACAAUAUACAAGGUGCUGCAUGGUUGUCGUCAGCUCGUGCCGUGAGGUGUCGGGUUAAGUCCCAUAACGAGCGCAACCCCUAUCAUUAGUUGCCAUCAGGUCAAGCUGGGGACUCUAAUGAAACUGCCUACGCAAGUAGUGAGGAAGGUGGGGAUGACGUCAAAUCAGCACGGCCCUUACGUCCAGGGCUACACACGUGCUACAAUGGCCGGUACAACGGGAAGCGAGUUCGCGAGGACAAGCGGAUCCCUUAAAGCCGGUCGCAGUUCGGAUUGAAGUCUGCAACUCGACUUCAUGAAGCUGGAAUCGCUAGUAAUCGUGGAUCAGCCAAGCCGCGGUGAAUACGUUCCCGGGCCUU
rnacentral:rRNA from 1 species